GAUGAACGCUGGCGGCGUGCUUAACACAUGCAAGUCGAGCGGAGUACCUUUGAAAGAGGAUUCGUCCAAUUGAUAAGGUUACUUAGUGGCGGACGGGUGAGUAACGCGUGAGGAACCUGCCUUGGAGUGGGGAAUAACACAGUGAAAAUUGUGCUAAUACCGCAUAACAUACGGAUGUCGCAUGGCAACCGUAUCAAAGAUUAUAUCGCUUGAAGAUGGACUCGCGUCCGAUUAGCCAGUUGGCGGGGUAACGGCCCACCAAAGCGACGAUCGGUAGCCGGACUGAGAGGUUGAACGGCCACAUUGGGACUGAGACACGGCCCAG
rnacentral:rRNA from 1 species